rnacentral:lncRNA from 1 species
GUCGCGAUGGGGAGAGGGGAAAGGCAGCGGGGUGGGAGCCGGCGCAGCCCGGCCGCCCGGCGCGAUCCGGCCGGCAGAGCUCCACCGAGCUGAGCUUUCCCGCCCCGUCCCCUCACCAGAGUCACUUUUUGGGGCUUGGUCCCCCUGCGCAAGGAGCCACCUCGGCCUUUUGCCUCUGCCUGAAAAGCUCCUGAUGCCUCGGUGUCUGCCCGAUCCUCUUGUGCUCUCCUCGCUCCCUUGGUGCCUCCCCGAUCCCUUGGUGCCUCCCUGAUCCCUUGGUGCCAUCCUUGAUCCCUUGGUGCCAUCCUCGAUCCCUUGGUGCCUCCCUGAUCCCUUGGUGCCACCCCUGCUCCCUUGGUGCCAUCCCCGACCCCUUGGUGCCAUCCCCGAUCCCUUCAUGCCGGCCCCAAUCCCCCUGCACCGGGGGAAAACUGAGGAAACCCAACUUUUCCAGCUCCGGGUGGGAUUUGGCUGCUGCAGGGGCCGAGGGGGGGACAGAGGGACGGAGCUGUGGAGAAGGGCAGGAUGGAUAAAUCCGUAAAGGGAGGUGAGGAGGUGGAUGAGCAGAUGGAGGGAUGAAUUUCAUCCAGUGUCAGCGAGAGACCCAACUGGACUUCCCAGCUCUGCCCUUUCCCUGCCCAGUCCCCGGCGGUGACCCAGAGCUAUCGCUGCUGCCGCUUCGAGGAAAUGGGGAGGAGAAA